AACGCGAAGAACCUUACCAGGGCUUGACAUGCACGGUGCACCGUUAGAGAUAACGGGUCCUUUGGGGCCGUGUGCAGGUGGUGCAUGGUUGUCGUCAGCUCGUGUCGUGAGAUGUUGGGUUAAGUCCCGCAACGAGCGCAACCCUUGUCCUAUGUUGCCAGCACGCCUUUAUGGUGGUGGGGACUCGUGGGAGACUGCCGGGGUCAACUCGGAGGAAGGUGGGGAUGACGUCAAAUCAUCAUGCCCCUUAUGUCCUGGGCUGCACGCAUGCUACAAUGGCCGGUACAAAGGGCUGCGAUACCGUGAGGUGGAGCGAAUCCCAGAAAGCCGGUCUCAGUUCGGAUCGGGGUCUGCAACUCGACCCCGUGAAGUCGGAGUCGCUAGUAAUCGCAGAUCAGCAAUGCUGCGGUGAAUACGUUCCCGGGCCUUGUACACACCGCUAGUC
rnacentral:rRNA from 1 species